GGGGAUUUAGCUCAGUGGUAGAGCGCUUGCCUAGCGCAAGGCCCUGAGUUCAAACUCCACAGUCCCUG
rnacentral:tRNA from 1 species